GUAUAAUCUGCCCGCUGAGGUUUUGAAGGGCCGCGGUAUUUUGACCGUGCAAAGGUAGCAUAAUCAUUAGUCUUUUAAUUGAGGACUGGGAUGAAGGAUUGGACGAAAUAUGAGCUGUCUCUGUCUAAAUUUUAAAAUUUAAUUUUUUGGUUAAAAAGCUAAAAUAAAGUUAAAAGACGAGAAGACCCUAUAGAUCUUUAUAUAUCUUAUAUUAAAGUUUUUAGGAAAGUUUUAAGGUUUAAAAUAAAUUUUAUUGGGUUGGGGUGAUUAAAAUAUAAAAUAACUAUUUUAUAACAUAACACUAAUAUGUGGUGAUAAGAUCCAUAAGAAUGAAAAUUAAAUUAAGUUACCUUAGGGAUAACAGCGUAAUUUUAUUAGAGAGCUCUAAUCGAAAAUAAAGAUUGCGACCUCGAUGUUGGAUUAAAGGAAAAGUUUAGGCGCAGUUGUUUAAACUUGGAGUCUGUUCGAC
rnacentral:rRNA from 1 species